CCAGCCGGGGAUCGGCUGGCGGGGCCUGUGAGACUCCCGGAAGGGGAGUGAGGGUGACAGUUACAAUGGGAUCCAGAGGGGGACAGUGGGCAGGCAGGGACAGCCCCAGGGAUCCGGUGGACAGAUGGAACUCGGCCGGGAGACAAGUGAGCAACAUUGAGCCCUGGUGCCAAUUUCACUAAGCUUACAACCCUUUGGUUUCUUCUUGCAUCUCACCCAGUCCAAGAGGAGAGGAUUGUAGGAUGGUUCCAGGUGGUGUCACUUACAAAGAUUCUGGCUGUUUUAGAAGAAAAACUUCUUGUCAAUCUGUGCAUUGGAUCCUUGUCAUUCCCACUGGAUGAAGGCUAGAAAGAAAGUACGAGGUCCUUUACUGGUGGAUAGUGUCAAUACCCCCUUUAGGGAUGGCUAGCUCUCAAUUGCUUUUACUGUAGUUUAAAGGAAGCAUGUCCUUGGCUUCUGCUCCUAAAUGCGUCUCUUGAUGCUGAUAGUCUAUGCAACUAUCAACCAGUAGCUAAUUUUCUACUUUUUGGUCAGGAUUAUGGAACAUGUUAUGGUGAGUACUCAGAGUAGCUGGAUGCUUCCAGCUUUCUUGACCCUUAUCAAUAGGAAUUCUGACAUUAUCAGAUCUAUCAGCUGUCUUCAAUACUGGCUUAUGAAAGGUGGCUGACACAUCCAUAGUCCAUGGAAAUAGUAGAUUGGGCUACACUAUAGGGGCAUCACUCCUGAGAUAUCCCAAAGGUUAUUGUUGGGCAAUCACACUUCUGCCCCGAGGGCUGUCAUGUGGAGUGCCAUAAGAAUCUUCUUUGCCACCAUAUUAUUAAAUGCAAUUGCUCCCUUCUUGUUCAGGGCAGUAGUGAAGUACACUAAGGCCUGGUCUACACUAAGAGUUUAGGUCAAAUUUA